GUAGUCCACGCUGUAAACGAUGAGUACUAAGUGUCGGGGCAACUCGGUACUGAAGUUAACACAUUAAGUACUCCGCCUGAGUAGUACGUACGCAAGUAUGAAACUUAAAGGAAUUGACGGGACUCCGCACAAGCGGUGGAUCAUGUUGUUUAAUUCGAAGAUACACGAAAAACCUUACCAGGUCUUGACAUACUCUGCGAAGCUAUAGAAAUAUAGUGGAGGUUAUCAGGGAUACAGGUGGUGCAUGGUUGUCGUCAGUUCGUGUCGUGAGAUGUUAGGUUAAGUCCUAAAACGAACGCAACCCCUGUCGUUAGUUACCAGCACGUAAUGGUGGGGACUUUAGCGAGACUGCCAAUUAAACAUUGGAGGAAGGUGGGGAUAACGUCAAAUCAUCAUGCCCCUUAUGAUCUGGGCUACAAGCGUGAUACAAUGGCUGUUACAAAGAGUAGCUGAAACGCGAGUUUUUAGCCAAUCUCAAAAAGACAGUCUUAGUCCGGAUUGAAGUCUGCAACUCGACUUCAUGAAGCUGGAAUCGCUAGUAAUCGCGAAUCAGCAUGUCGCGGUGAAUACGUUCUCGGGGUUUGUACACACCGCCCGUCAAACCACGAAAGUUAGCAAUACCCGAAAGCAGUGGCUUAACUUCGCAAGAAGAGGGAGCUGUCUAAGGUAGGGUUGAUGAUUGGGGGUU
rnacentral:rRNA from 1 species